rnacentral:rRNA from 1 species
GAUGAACGCUGGCGGCGUGCUUAACACAUGCAAGUCGAACGGUGAAGGCGGAGCUUGCUCUGCUGGAUCAGUGGCGAACGGGUGAGUAACACGUGAGCAAUCUGCCCCUGACUCUGGGAUAAGCGCUGGAAACGGCGUCUAAUACUGGAUACGAGCUGCGAAGGCAUCUUCAGCAGCUGGAAAGAAUUUCGGUCAGGGAUGAGCUCGCGGCCUAUCAGCUUGUUGGUGAGGUAAUGGCUCACCAAGGCGUCGACGGGUAGCCGGCCUGAGAGGGUGACCGGCCACACUGGGACUGAGACGCGGCCCAGACUCCUACGGGAGGCAGCAGUGGGGAAUAUUGCACAAUGGGCGAAAGCCUGAUGCAGCAACGCCGCGUGAGGGACGACGGCCUUCGGGUUGUAAACCUCUUUUAGCAGGGAAGAAGCGAAAGUGACGGUACCUGCAGAAAAAGCGCCGGCUAACUACGUG